UACGGAGGGGGUUAGCGUUGUUCGGAAUUACUGGGCGUAAAGCGCGCGUAGGCGGACCAGAAAGUUGGGGGUGAAAUCCCGGGGCUCAACCCCGGAACGGCCUCCAAAACUCCUGGUCUUGAGUUCGAGAGAGGUGAGUGGAAUUCCGAGUGUAGAGGUGAAAUUCGUAGAUAUUCGGAGGAACACCAGUGGCGAAGGCGGCCCACUGGCUCGAUACUGACGCUGAGGUGCGAAAGNGUGGGGAGCAAACAGG
rnacentral:rRNA from 1 species